GACUUCCUUGUGGGCCACCACCUUCAAUUGAUCAUGGGGUUAGAUCCCCUAUGUUGUCCAGUUACCAGUAUGGAGAAGAAUUUACAUACCAAUGUUCUGAAGGUUUUGGAAUUGACGGACCUGCAUUUACAAAAUGCUUAGGAGGAAAGUGGUCUCAUCAACCAACAUGCAUAAGAACAGAUUGUCAUAAUGUCCCCAUAAUUGAUAAUGCCAUACUCACAGGAGAGAAGAAGACUUCAUAUAGGUCAGGAGAACAAUUGAGUUAUGAAUGUCAACCAAAUUACCAAUUG